UGCCGCUUGCGUGGCAUCAACGGAAGCUAUGUGCGCACUACGCACCCUGCGCCAUUUUCAGGCCACCAAUCCCCUUUUUAUUUCCUACUACUCCACACUUACUUGAUAACUUGUGAUUCCCCAAAUCAAAAACCCUAAUGGCCCUGCCCUUUCAUUUUAUAUUUAGUUGAUUCUUUAGAGCUUAUAGAAGAUUCAAGUAAGAAUUUCCCCCAUCACAAACAUCGUUUUCUCUUUUCAAAAUCAGGAUUUUUUUGACAGAAAACCCCAAAAGCUCGAAAGCUUUGAUUUUCAAGCUCGGAAUUCUAAUUUCACGGUUUUGGGUCUGGUUGACAUCAUCAGAAGCUCGAAAAGAUUUGUUUUUUCCAUUACAAAUCUCAAACAGGUUGGGAUUUUUAUUUUACGAUUUAAGAUUGAAAACUCUAAGCUCGAAAGCUCAAAUUUCAAGCUUGAAAUUGUUAUCAAAACUCAAGAAAGCUCUGGUUUUCCAUUAUUAGAAGCUCAAAUCAAAAUCCUAAUCUCACUGUUUCUGGGCCAUGAAGAACUUGUGACUGUUUCAGAGGAACAACACAAAAAGCUUUCAACUUUUGCUGAAAUGUCUGUGGAGAGGUCCUUCGAAGCUUGGGAGGAGGUUCAGCGCCAUGGCCAGGACUUAGCGGACCGCCUUGCGCAGGGCUUCACGGGUUUGAUUCAGCCCCACAUCAGUACGCCGUCGUUCGCUUGGCCUAACCCUAACACGUCGAAGCUCUUCGAUCUCGAGUUCCCGAACCAGAGUUUCGGCAAGAGAGACUUUGUUGGCUUGGUGGCCGAGAACUCCGGGAUUAAUGGGGUUUCCGCGAUUCUCAAUAUCGGUAACAGGAUCGGGCAAGUCGGGGCGGAUUUCGGGGCGUGCUUGAAUGGGAUGGUUCAACAGUUCUUUAGGACCUUACCGGUACCGUUUAGGCAUGAUGAAAAUGCUGCUAUAGUGGCUGUUCGAAUUGAUUCGGAUAAGGUUAGGCAGAGAGCAGAUGCGAGUUUGAGUGGUAAGGAGGAUUUGGGGCCAUUGAAGGAACGCUCGAAGGAUUUCAGGGUUGUGGAGAGUGAUGGUGUCUCUGAUGGUUUGGUGGAUGAAGAACUUGCUGGCUUGAAUCUAAGGUCCGCUGGUCUUCUGGGUAGACCACUGGGGAGCAUAAAUACCUCAACAACUUAUGAUAGUAGAACACGUCAGCUAGAAAGUUCUUUCCUUGCAAGGGGAGAUCUAUGGAGAGUAGAGGCUUCGAGUGGCAGUUCCACCUCUAGAAAUGACAAUUCAUCACUCUUCCUUGUCCAGCUUGGGCCUGUACUCUUUGUUCGUGAUGCGACACUUCUUCUUCCGGUGCAUUUGUCAAAGCAACACUUGCUUUGGUAUGGCUAUGAUAGGAAGAAUGGGAUGCAUUCCCUUUGUCCGGCCGUGUGGUCGAAACACAGAAGGUGGCUCUUAAUGUCAAUGGUCUGCCUGAAUCCAUUAGCCUGUUCAUUUGUUGAUUUACAGUUUCCAAACGGGCAAUUUACAUUUGUAUCUGGUGAAGGGCUUUCUACAAGUGCUUUCUUACCUCUGUGUGGAGGCCUUCUACAAGCUCAAGGUCAAUAUCCUGGAGAAAUGAGAUUCAGUUUCUCUCGCAAGAAUAAGUGGGGAACACGCAUCACCCCAAUGAUACAAUGGCCAGACAAGUCUUUUACACUGGGUCUUUCACAAGCCUUGGCUUGGCAGAGAUCUGGUCUCAUGGUGAGGCCUACAAUUCAGUUCAGGUUAGGUUUUUUUGCCGUCUCUCUAUUAGUAAAUCUGUACAUUAUUGUCUUUCCAUCAUUGGUUGUUAAGACUUGUCUCUAAAAUGUUGCAGUGAAAUGAAUGUAACUGUUAAUGUUCUGAAUCUUAUUUUAAUAUAAUGUUAACAUGGUACUACCAUAUGCUUCUGGUCUCUGCACACUUUGUCUCACAAAUAAAAAGCUGCGCCGAAAAAAAAAAAAAAGGAGAAAACAAAAAAAGAAAAACACGAACGUAAAUUUUUUUUCCUAAGAGGGCUAGGAGGUCUGGAGGAGUCAGUCUUUGAGGCCACUGAUUGGUCCUAGGAGGUAUGUUCCUUUUGUUCUAUGAUUUUAUGGGUGGGUUGGUUGGGCCAAAGCAUAUUCUCAAGUUGAAUUGGGGCUAACGAGAGUAAUUUAGUGAUAUUUCAUAGAUUACACAGGUGAUAUAUGCAUAUGUUGCAUGUCUACAUACUGUAGGAAAUGGAUUGAAAUUUUGGAAUUUUUGACAUGGGCAUGUUCAGCAUUGGAGGAAUAGAUGAGGUUAAUUUGGUAUUCAGCAGUCUCUCCAAAGUCAAAUUGUUUAUUUAUGCCCCACUUUUGGUGGAAGCAAUCCUGGUUUGCGGGCAGAACUCAUUCACUCAGUGAAGGAGGAGCUCAACCUGAUAUGUGGUUGU